rnacentral:lncRNA from 1 species
CCGAUAGCUCGCAGUGUACACAAAUUCGCGGCUUAUUAGUGGGCGCGUUCAGGUUUGUCGCGUCGCGUCGCUCCGCUCGUUUACUGUAGACGGAGGAGGUGUUGGAUGUGAAACUCUCACUCCUCUCCCCCUCCGACUGUCACCGACAAACAACGUGGGACGGAGGAAUUUGUUAUACUACACCACAGAGACUUUUGCACUGCUUUUUAUACACCGCCGCGUCACAAGUAAAUCUCGCGUUUCGCGGAGCUGGAAAAUAUGUGUAAAGUACUGACAGCGGUCAAAUAAACUUUGCGCUAUCACCCGCGGUUGAGUACUCACAAAUGUCAUGCACUGUUCAAGAGCCUUUGCCUUCCGUGACAUUCAGCGGACUUUAUAACAACCAACAUGAAGCAGACAGGUACACUUAGAACGCGUUGCCUGUCCUAAAGGACUUUUAAACUGGUUGAAGUCGUUGUAAACAUGGAAGAGACAGGCGCUGGGAACGGUACUGGGACGCAGGGCUGUGAACUGGAGCGUUCUGGAGACGGAGGACUGGAUGAGGUGCAGAUGCAUCUCGCCUGCUUACCGGAGCGAUACAUGAGAGCGAAGUUCUCCCUCUCAGCGUACAUAUUUUGUUGGACAGUAGUAAAGUUGUGUCAGAGAUUAAGACCGUCGCCAGUUCUUCCCCAGGGUUUGAUGUAAUCAUCAUCGAGGAGCAAGCAUGCACCAUCAGGACAUACUGUACUGUACUUCUCCUCACAUGCUGCCAGCAGCUUAUCUGCCUUCACCGCUGUAGAGGCUGUGCCUUAACUUGUCGGAUGUUGCUAAGGAGUUGUGCAAUGCAUUGAAGUCUAGUGUCUGCAGAUGGUUGGUGCACUUUCCUGACACCAUGAACAGAAGAUUUGCAGUGUGUUGUGUUGCUCUGAUCAGGUAUGAACAGGCCAGAAAAUGAGGUUGGUUUUAGCCAGUGUUGCCUCUUAUUUAAUAGAAUGAUUAGUCGUGAUAGUUUACCAC